rnacentral:rRNA from 1 species
AGAGUUUGAUCCUGGCUCAGAACGAACGCUGGCGGCAGGCCUAACACAUGCAAGUCGAGCGCCCGCAAGGGAGCGGCAGACGGGUGAGUAACGCGUGGGAACGUGCCCUUUGGUUCGGAAUAUUCCCGGGAAACUGGGAGCAAAACCGGAUAAGCCCUUCGGGGGAAAGUUUACGCCAAAGGAUCGGCCCGCGUUAGAUUAGGUAGUUGGUGGGGUAACGGCCUACCAAGCCUACGAUCUAUAGCUGAUCUGAGAGGAUGAUCAGCCACACUGGGACUGAGACACGGCCCAGACUCCUACGGGAGGCAGCAGUGGGGAAUCUUGGACAAUGGGCGCAAGCCUGAUCCAGCCAUGCCGCGUGGAUGACUGAAGGCCCUAGGGUUGUAAAGUCCUUUCGACGGGGACGAUAAUGACGGUACCCGUAGAAGAAGCCCCGGCUAACUUCGUGCCAGCAGCCGCGGUAAUACGAAGGGGGCUAGCGUUGUUCGGAUUUACUGGGCGUAAAGGGCGCGUAGGCGGAUUUUUAAGUCGGGGUGAAAUCCCGGAGCUCAACUCCGGAACUGCCUUCGAUACUGGAAGUCUGGAGCACGGUAGAGGUGAGUGGAAUUCCGAGUGUAGCGGUGAAAUGCGUAGA